UGUUGUAAAGAAAAAACAAGAAAUAACACCAGGAGCGUGUAUACGAUAAAAUAGAGAAAGAAUGACUGAUCUACUUUACACUUCAUUUUUAUUGAACUGAACGAACUUUUUAUGGAACAAGUAUUACGGCUUGAAUACACCGUUACAAAUCUCCAGUUUUUCCAGUAAACCUUUAAUGUCCUUCAUAUGCAUGCAGUCUCCUUCGGCAAUAUCAUCUUGUGACACCGAGUUAUAUCAAAGCUGUAUGGCCCAGAUAUCAAUGUGAAAUCAAUCAUAAUUCACAAAAAUGGAGGACGUUUGAUGUGCUAAAGUAUAAAUUUGAAACAUCUGUAUUCCUCUUCAACAAAAACCUUUUCUAUCGAGUCAUUUGUAAGGCAAAUGGAGGUUUAUGUAAGAUAAAACAGCAUUAAAUAUAGGUGAUACAAAUAUACAAAAUGAAUACCAAAAUAAUCUAUUUUAAGUUUGGCGAGAUUUUUGUUUUUAUCCUGCAUAGCAAAAAUUCAACACCAUUCUGUUUAUUUUUCAGUAUGAAAAAAUGUUCACAUAAAUAUUGCUAUAUACACAUGUAAGAAUUAAAUGCUAUUUCAUGAAGGUCUGAGAGCAUCUGAUUGGCUAAGUUUUCAUAUGGUACAAACCUAAGCUCGACCUGCUAGAAAUAGUAGAAAUAUUACGUUUACAUGAGCUAUAUGCACAUACACACACACACACACAAACACAAACACGCACAUAUAUAUAAAUAUAUGUAUAUACAUAUGUAAAGGCAUGUGUGUACAGGUAUAUACAUGUGUGUGCAUAUACAUGCAUACAUACGUACAUACAUACAGAGGUAUAUAUAUAUAAAUGUACCCAUUAUUUGUUUGUAUGGUUAUAUAUUGUAUAGAAUUUGUGACAUUAAGUAUAGCUCAAAAAAGAUUUCUUCAGGGAUGGUUGUUUGUGAUUUCAGGAUGAGUGCUUGCGAUUCCACAACUACUUUUAUGUUUUAUAACAAUCUUCAGAUAAAUAUUUAUGUUAGCAACAUUAACUUUUAUUUAAAAUUUGAA